rnacentral:lncRNA from 1 species
UUUUUUUUUUUUUUCGGUCUUUUUUUGGGGGCGGGGUGCAAACCAGAGGCAUUUGGAGGUUCCCAGGCUAGGGGGUGAUUUGGAGCUGCAGCUGCCAGCCUACACCACAGCCACAGCAACACAGGAUCCCAGCUGCGUCUGCGACCUCCACCACAGCUCAUGGCAACACUGGAUCCUUAACCCACUGAGUGAGGCCAGGGAUGGAACCUGCAUCCUCAUGGACGCUAGUCAGAUUCAUUUCUGCUGAGCCAUGACGGGAACUCCCAUUUUUAAUCAGAAGACUCUUUAUUAGUGCCUCUGGAGCCCUGGAGCCUCUGACCUGAUCCUGGAGCUGGGACCAAGGGGCCUAGAAUCAUAGCCCUGCUUUAAAAGCUCACUCCCCCACCCCAUUCCCCAGAUUGGGUCCAGCCCUAGACACAUGGAGGGAAUGGGAAAGAUAGAAGCCAAAGGAAGCUGGACCUGGCUUGGCACCACCUACCUCAUGACCUCUGGCACCUUAGUUUCAUCAUCUGUCAGAUGGGUAAUCUUCUCAAUGAAUUUUUUGCUGAUCAAGUGAAGGAACUUGUGAAGGAAGCGUUUCAGAGGACAUUAAUAAUGCUUGGCACAUACAUCUAUUCCUCGCACCCCCAGCUCGUUAGCUACCAGAAAAGAAAGGGGGGGAAAUCAGCUCAUCCUUUAAAUCAGUGCUUUCUGGUAAGGGCAGGUGCUAAAAGUUAUUAACAAUCAAACAAAAAGUUGGGAUAUGAGGAUGAGUUGGAGGAACAAGUUGCUCAGGUUCAGAAGGCAGAAACCCAGAGCUGACUUUGGUCAUUUGCAGUCAUCAGAGCUCAGGCUUUGACAGAGCAAAACGUUCAGAGGAUCCUGGAAGCCCAGAGUGGAAGAGGCUCUUCCCAUCAUCUGGUUGCCCCCUACCAGGUACUUGAGAUAAGCUGCUGACCUCCACAAUACAUACCCCAGAGGAUCUCCUGCCAGUGUCACCCCUGGUCCAGUAACAAGAUAGCACUUGGCAUCCAGGCUGCAUUUGUGCUAAAGUGGGGAGGGGGCUGGAUCCCAGGGGAGUCUUCCCUCCAGAUGGGGUCCCUGAGGCUGGGUGAAGGUCCCAUAGGGUAUGGAGCCUCACGGCAGGAAGUUGGAGGGGUGCACAUGGCACAGUAGCAGCUCCCUCACCCCCAGGGAGCCUAGUUAGCAGCAGCACUGAACACACACUGGAGAGGCUCGGGAUGAACCUGGCAACCUCGUGCCUGCCACAGGUGGACACGGGGAGGCUGGGGCAGGUGGACUCUAGGAAAGAGCAUCCUUGAUGAGGGCCCAGGGAUUCAACCAGAGUUGUUAGAUGGUCAUUCGCUUGUGAUUUCCUGGGAAAUGUGACACUGAUGUCCCUUCCCAUGCUCUCACUGCCCCCCAUGAUGCUCUUCAACUGAUGCCAUGUUGACUGAUUAACCACCACCAGCAAAAACCAUCCUAGACCACUGGCUUUGACCUUGGUGGGUACACAGUGGGCCCUAGGUAAGCUGCAUAUCUUUCCUAGUUAGAACUUUCACCUUCCAGUGCCUCUCAGACACCCUAUGAUUUACUGAAAGUCUGUGCUGAGGAGUGGGGGGAUGCAAUUCCACAUUGAGAGAGGCUCAGAAGCCUACUUUACUCCCUGCUUCCAGCCAGAAUAAGGGUCUUGACCCUGUUCUUGACCCAGGGCAUGAAAAUCACAUAGGGAGCUUUUAAAAAAAACAGUCAAAAAAAUAAAAUAAAAUAAAAUAAAAUAAUAAAAAAUCAAUAAAAAAUAAAAAAAGUCAGUGCCUAGGCCCCUCCCCAGACCAGGUGAGUCAGAAGCUCAGAGGGCAGGGGCUUGGAAAUCAGUAGUUUUAAGAGCUCCCGGGGUGACUCUAAUAUGUAGCCGGGCUUGAGAAUGGCAGAGCUGGGACAUAAGCUAGAGAAAGAUGUGUUGGCUAGGCUGUGCACAAGCACAAAAUCUGGUUUUUCUUGAUAAAGGUAAUGCUGAUUUAGAGUUGCCUAAAAAUAAUCUUCCACAUUGUAAAAGGAUUUUAAUGAGCUUUUUUUCUCCUGGGUAGACUCAUGAAUACAUAAGCAGGCCACCAGCCCUUUGUGUGGAUCCAGUGCCUAAGGCCAACAGACAGCUUUACAACAGUUAAUUUUCACAGACAAUUGUGUGCCCCAAAUCAGACCGCUCCUCAUCUAUCUCUGCCAGAUGGGCCACACACCCCAGGUGCCUCCCCAGCCCCCACUUCUUCACCCCUUGGACAAGGUGGAUGCCCCCCACCCAGGCUUCUGCUCAGCCAGGAAGGGCUGAACCAAGGCCUACAACUCCGGACAGGUCUCCACCUGGCUCCAGGGCCCCUCAACUCACCUGAGUCCUGCUGUUGCCCCUGCUUCAAGGUCGUAGGAGACAUUAACAGCUGCACGAGACUGCUGGGGCCAAGCAGGGAGCUGGAGCUCAAAGGUAUCAUUCUGGGCUGGCAGGGAGGCCACAGCCAAACCACGUCCUCCCCGGCCUCCCCCAGUCUGCAGUAUGGAUCGUGGUCACUUGCAGAGGGCUUCUGCAUCCCCCAGCCACAGGAAAUCCUGCCUCUGAUCUUCUUUCCCUGGCCCUUUCUUGUGAGCAUUUCCUAAGGCCCCCUAUUUUACCAUGGUGUCUGUGCACACACACCUGCUUACCUCCUUCCCCUAACCACGAGGUGAGCUUAAAAAAGCAGGGGCUGCACCUCAGCCUCAAAAAUCCCUCCAUAGCUCUUAGUCCUGGGCCUCCUGUGGGUGCUGAAUGGCUGAGUAAAGCUCCCGAGUCAGCCUGUGGGGGAAGUGAUCCACUUUUAUAGGAAGAGGCCCUUUGCUGGUGGUCUCACCCCAGGAGAAGGGAUGUUGACUCAUUUCACCACUGUGUCCCCACAGCGUAGAACAAUGCCUGGCACAGGGUAAAUACUCAAACAUUGGUUGAAUUUCAUUCUGCAUUUAGUGGUCACUGAAUCAGCAAGAAUCACAGGUUGAACUUGACAUGCCAAGGUCUGUUCCCUAGUAGCAUGUCUUUGACUUACUAAUUUUUUUCCUUUUUGGCCAUCCCAAGGCAUGUGGAGUUCCGGGCCAGGGAUCAGAUUCCAGCCAUACUUUUGACCUAUGCUGCAGCUGUGGCAAGGCAGGAUCCUUAACCCACUGUGCUGGGCCUGGAAUGGAACCUGUGUCCUGCUGCUGCAGAGACACUGCUGAUCCUGUUGAGCCCAUGGCAGGAACUCCUGGCUUACUAAUUUUAAUCUAAUUUUGUCUCUUGGGGAAAAACAACUGCCAUCCUUAGGGUGGGGGUAAGUGAUUCCUCCCUGUACCCAGUCAAAAAACCUGUUUUGAAGGGCAGAUGCCCUAGAGAUGCGACUCAACAAGGCUGGGAGCAUGGUACACAAAAUUAACCUUUGUUAGGGGUGCAGAGUGUGUCAGGCAUUAAGUAGGAGCUUUCUGUAAAUUAACUUCAUCUUCCUAUUAGUCUGAUGGAAUAGGGCUGGCAGCCUGCCUGACACCUGAGCAACCCGAUUUGGAGCAGGCACACAACUUGCCCUCAGUCACACGAUCGCCAGAUGGGGAAAGAGGGAUUUAGCCCAACUUUCAGGCUAGCUCCAAAGUUUGCGGUGUCUCUUGAAAAUGCCCAGCCCUGAAUAGGCCCUGAUGGGCCCGUUCCAUUCAGGCCUCUGUGUUUGGAGACCCCUCAGUCUUGGGCUGGUCCCCCAAUAUUCAUCCCCUUCUCUUCCCCUGCCCUCAUUGUUGCUGAGCAUUUUCCUUUUAGAAUUUAGUUCUCGAAGAAAUCUCUGGGAACUCCAUCUUGGGCCCUUUGUGCUAAGGCUAACGAUCACUGCCGGCCACCAGAGGGCCACAUCCCAAACAUCCCCAUUUGAGGAAUCCAAGCGCUCUUUUAGGUUUGGUUUAAUUUUCUUAAAAAUAGAAGCCAGCUGAUGUGUCUGGCAGACCAGUAUGGAAGCUCACCCAGGGAACCACUCUGAGUGCGAGAGGGGCAGCUGGGUGGCGAGGGUGAUGCCUCCGGGUGGGCACUGUUGCAGAGGGAGGCAUUAACACCAACUGAGGAAAGAGACUUUCCAGCUGACCUCCCCAAGGAGAACGUCUUUCCCCAGCAACAGCACUGCCAGCCUGCAGCUUUCCCCAGCUCUGCCUCACUGCCCACCAUCCAACCUUCACUUUUCUUUGGCUGGCUCCUUGCCACGCCAGGGCUUCUACGGAAGGCUGGCCAUUCCUAGGAAACAGCCAAAGUACCCCUUGUUUGGGGUGACCAAUGGCCCUCACCUUGUCCUCUUUCCUUGCCACUAGGGAGGCAUUUUAAAGGUUUUUACUGAGGACUCCACUGAAAAGCCUCCAGCUCUGAGACCUGGAUAAGUGGGCUAUACUUUACCACAGUGGCCAUCUCGCCACCUGCCCCUGGCCCCUUGCCCCUGCUCCAGGAGGUGCCACCAGUCCCAGAAGAGACCAUGAAGCCCUAUAAGGGGUGUGGGGGCACUUGAAUGAGGCCCCGGUCCCCAGGUGAUUCAUCAGGAAGUGGCCUUCCAUAGGCCACAGGGGCCUGAGCAAGCUGAGGGCCCUGGGGGAGAGGGAAUGGGCUGAAGCUCUUCCAUGAAGCCCCUUCAAGGAGAGAACACUGAGGACACCAGGCAGCUGGAGCCCUCGCUCCAGGGCUUCUCAUGAGGGGCCAGGUCCCCCAGGUGGAGAGAGACAACCCCCGCCCCCACCUCUUCAGCCAUGUGCACAUCCCCAGGCAGAAUCCCAUUCCCAGAUCACGAAAACCCUCCCGGUCAGCCACACAGGCAGAUACUGUCCAGGGGAGCAGGAGGCACCUGCUCUGGGAUCAGGCCCAAGUCUCCCACCAUCGAGCCAAUCCUGCGUCCCCUUGCCAACCCCAAGGUCAAUAACUGGUCCUCGCCCCUUCAUUUAAAAUGCUUUAUGCUGAGAGCCCAAAAUCAACGGUCAGAGACUUAAUAUCUCCCAGCCCCAGAAUGCAUGCCACAUGCUGAAUUAGUUCCAGCAUGUGCUGGAUUUCUUGUCCCACCACACCUCCAGCCAGACUGAGAUCCUGGCCAGGGGACUGAGUUCUGAGGCUGAUCAGGGGAGAGCAAGACUUUGGAGCUGGGAUAGGAGUCCUGUACUUACAGAAACCCGUGGGGGCUUCGCAGACCCAGGGACGCAGCAGGCCUUAGCCUUUCUCGCAGGGAGUGGAGAAGGGGCCCGGCUCAGUCACCCCCAGAGGCUGGGAAGAGGCCCUUCUGCUGCCUUCUGAGGAGCCCCAGGCUGUGCCUCAGCUAAGGACAUUCCCAGGAAAGGAGGCCUGAGAGAGGUUUCUGCUCCACUGAAGGAUGGAACAAGGGGACACAUGGGACUUGGGGAGAACAUUCCAGAAAUUGACUGCCUAUAGACAAGGGUGGUGGUGAGGGAACCAUCCUAAACAGAGUAAAUGCACAAGUUAUUAUACAGGAAGGAACAUGCAGAACACGUACAAGGACUCUCUCCCACCCUGUCCCUUCUUCCCACGAACACCACACAGAGCGACAAUGUCAGCGAAGCAAAGACUCAAUAAAAAUAAUCAGUCAACCAAAGAAUUCUGCCCCUUGCAUCCCUAAUCGAAGUUACUGAUCAAGUGAGAAAAGGCUGUACUUUGCCUCCUUCCUCUCUUUAUAAGAUACGCAUUUGAAAUUUCUGAUGGAAAAAUACCCAGUAGAUGCCAGCAGCUGAGGUCAACAGGGGCUCACAGUCAUCUAACUCAGCCUGCCUGGCUCUUCAAGCUGAAUUCCCGUUACUGCUCUCUCUCAAGUGACUUCAUAUCUCACUGUCAUUUCCACUGCCCACAGAGGCACAAACAGUGCAACAAAUCAGGGUAAUCCAAUUUAGCUAGCGAGCUCCUGGCAGACUGUGCCAAGCCUGGAAGCCUCUACGCGGCAGAUGCCAGCAGAGGCAAACCUGAAUAGGGUAGCCAGAUAAAAUUGGGAUAUACUUAUACUAAGAACUGUUUAUCUGAAAUUCAAAUUUAGCCAGGUGUCCUGUGUUUUUAUUUGCUAAAUCUGGUGCAGAUGAAGGGGCCUUCGCUGCAGGCCAUGUAGGCCUGGAUUCUACCUGAGAGCCACCAGCCGAGGCCAGCCCUGCUGGGGCCACCCGAGAGAUGGGUCUGUUUCUCUGCCAGACAUCCCCUCUGGGAUCACUGGCUCCCCCACUUCCUGCUCAAACAGAAGCCACUGUCUGAGGCAAACUCUUAGCUUUCCCCUCCUAAGAAAUAGAUUCUUAAGGACUCCAAGGGCAAAGGCAACAGGGAGGGCAGAGUUUGCCAAUGCAAUGCUGAGUUUCUGCCAGCCCCCCAGCCACCUGCGCCCCCCCCUUUUAAAAAGAUAUGGCCUUUAUAGAGUUCCCUGGCAGCUUGGUUAAGGAUCUCGCACUGUCACUGCUGUGGCUCAGGCUGCUACAGUGCUGUAGGUUUGACUCUGACCCAGGAGCUUCUGUAUGCCAUGGGCACAGCAAAAAAAAAAAAAAAUUCUGGUCUUUACUAUUGGUGACAGUAAAUCAAAUGUCCACCCCUUUCUCAAGGUUUCCCUGAAGAUUAUGCAGCUCAGCAAAUUUCCUUCUUUGAAGGAUCAGUCCUGUUUAAACUGACCCCAGGAGACACUCCUCUAUAACUUCAGACUGAAUGAAUGCCUUUUAAAGGCCGCUAAGUCUGAAUCCAGGAGUGUGAAGCUGGUAGAGGAUGUGGGGAGGGCAAAGGCACAGGAGGCCAAAGCAAAGAAUCUGCUCAAACAUUUGCUGAGCAAGCCAUCGUGGGCUAGAUAGCCAGGAGAAGGCACACAGAAGCUAUGUCAAAAAUCAAGGUUAGGACAAAAAAAUUUCCCUCCUUUCCUGGGUUAGCAAUUUAGAGCCAACAGCAUUUCCACUUAGGUGCUCCUGGUAAAAAAAGGCAAGGAGCUGGAGUUCCUACUGUGGCGCAGCGAAAACAAGUGCAACUAGUAUCCAUGAGGACGUGGGUUCAAUUCCUGGCCUCACUCAGUGGGUCCGGGAUCUGGAGCUGCCAUGAGCUGUGUUGUAGGUUGCAGACAGGGCUCAUAUUGUGCAUUGCUGUGGCUAUGGCUGUGGUGUAGGUUGGUGGCUGCAGCUCCAAUUUGACCCCUAGGCUGGGAACUUCCGAAUGCCAUGGGUGCAGCCCUAAAAAGCAAAAAAAAAAAAAAAAAAAAAAAAAAA